UACGGGAAGGCAGCAGUGGGGAAUAUUGCACAAUGGGCGCAAGCCUGAUGCAGCCAUGCCGCGUGUAUGAAGAAGGCCUUCGGGUUGUAAAGUACUUUCAGUCGUGAGGAAGGUGUUAAGGUUAAUAACCUUAGCAAUUGACGUUAGCGACAGAAGAAGCACCGGCUAACUCCGUGCCAGCAGCCGCGGUAAUACGGAGGGUGCGAGCGUUAAUCGGAAUUACUGGGCGUAAAGGGCACGCAGGCGGUUAAUUAAGUUGGAUGUGAAAUCCCCGGGCUUAACCUGGGAAUGGCAUUCAAGACUGGUUAGCUAGAGUCUUGUAGAGGGGGUAGAAUUCCAUGUGUAGCGGUGAAAUGCGUAGAGAUGUGGAGGAAUACCGGUGGCGAAGGCGGCCCCUGGACAAAGGCUGACGCUCAUGUGCGAAAGCGUGGGGAGCAAACAGGGAUUAGAUACC
rnacentral:rRNA from 1 species